CGGUGUUCAACUGGCGUGCCCGCGGGACGUCCUGCCGGUGAGCUCAGCCCGCGAGGGCGGCUCAACUUGAAAUCCCAUCGCGGUGCUCUUCAUUGAGUGUCGAGGUGGGCCGGCACGAUUACUUUUGAACAAAUUAAAGUGCUUAAAGCAGGCUAAAAUUUUGCCUGAAUACUGUGUAUAUGGAAAAAUGGAAUAGGACCUCGGUUCUAUUUUGUUGGUUUUCGGAACCCCGAGGUAAUGAUUAAUAGGAACGGAUGGGGGCAUUCGUAUUGCGACGUUAGAGGUGAAAUUCUUGGAUCGUCGCAAGACGGACUAAAGCGAAAGCAUUUGCCAAAAACGCUUUCAUUGAUCAAGAACGAAAGUUAGAGGUUCGAAGGCGAUCAGAUACCGCCCUAGUUCUAACCAUAAACUAUGCCAGCUAGCGAUCCGCCGACGUCCCUCUGAUGACUCGGCGGGCAGCUUCCGGGAAACCAAAGCUUUUGGGUUCCGGGGGAAGUAUGGUUGCAAAGCUGAUACUUAAAGGAAUUGACGGAAGGGCACCACCAGGAGUGGAGCCUGCGGCUUAAUUUGACUCAACACGGGAAACCUCACCAGGCCCAGACACUGGAAGGAUUGACAGAUUGAGAGCUCUUUCUUGAUUCAGUGGGUGGUGGUGCAUGGCCGUUCUUAGUCGGUGGAGCGAUUUGUCAGGUUAAUUCCGAUAACGGACGAGACUCUGACCUGAUAACUAGACGCACUUGCGGCAUCUCAAAGGUCCGCCGGCGGCUGGCUUUGCGCCCGUCGUCGCGCGCGAUUUUUACUGCCGGCGUACAAUAAAUUCUUCUUAGAGGGACAAGUGG
rnacentral:rRNA from 1 species